GUGCUGGGAUUACAGGCGUGAGCCACCGCACCCAGCCAUGGACUUUAAUUAUAAAGUAAUAAUCACAGUAAAACUGAAAGAAAGCCAAGCCAAGGGGCUUAUAAGCUGUGAGAAAAUCACUGAGCUUAGCAUCUUUUAGCCAUCUGGUGUCUCCUCUUUACCUGUGGCUUCUUCCUUUGUUUGCCUGGUCAUAUUUAUAGUGAAUGGCUUUCAGAGUGGCUGAGGGGGAACUGGGGCCCAACAUUUCUAAAAGAAAAGGUAAUUGAAAGUGAUAGAAAUUCAAGGAGAGUUUCCUUAAAGAGCACUUCUAGGGGGAAGUCCUACUGGAAUUGGUCUGUGCAUAGAGAGGAAACGCCUCUUGCUCCAACAGUUUCCUGCAAAUCAGAUCACUGCAUGCAAAAUGGGAGAAGAGUUAGGGCCCUUGCAACCUCAAGGGCAAUCACAUGCAACCAGUUGCAGCACAUGAGACUUGCAGGGCACAUUCCAAAGACAUGCUCCAAAAAUUUAACUAAAAAUUUCCAAAGUGCAAUCAGAAGGUCUUCACAAUUCUAAAGGAUCCAUUUAUGACAACAGCCACAUCUAAAUUUCCUAGAACUACAGCAUUGAUUUUUUUUUUUUUGAGACAGAAUUUUGCUC
rnacentral:lncRNA from 10 species